CAGUCAGCUUUGGAUAUGAAGUGACUGAUUUCCUCCACUACAAAGAUGGUGUGUACAGCAGCACUACGUGUAAGAACACUACAGACAAUGUGAACCAUGCUGUACUGGCAGUGGGAUAUGGUGAAAGAAUAGCACUCCAUAUUGGAUCGUGAAAAACUCCUGGGGCACCAACUGGGGAAUGGAUGGAUAUUUCCUAAUAGAAUGAGGGAGGAACAUGUGUGGACUGGCAGCCUGCUCCUCUUGUCCUCUCCCCCCGGUGUGAUGUAACGGGAACUCAGAAGAGAAGAAGAGAACGCCACAGUCAAUCUUCAGCUACAGUAUGAGAACUCAGGAAAAACAGGAUACAUUUUCUCAUUCAGAGGAAGGGAGUGGGCAUCUCUUAUUUGCAUGGACAUGUUUUUAAGAACUGUAGUUAUACUGUUACAAUGUGAGUUCGACAUUUUACAAGUUACUUAUUUUAAAUGAAUUAUAACUGGAUCGUAUUAUGAAGGUUUGUACGGUAUAUGGUAAGUGGCUGGUCAUGGUUAAGUUAGUAGGCAACGACUGGGUAGUGAGAGUCUUUGAAUCGUGUGCUUAUGUAGCCACAUAUUGCUUCAGUUGAAUGUGUAAGAGAUCCUAGUUAGUACUAGGAAGCAUCACCAAUAUUUUAGCUUCUCUUGAUUUGACAUUUUGGUUAGUGUUUAGAGGUUUGUACUAGGCAUAUUUUGUGUAUAUUAGACUGAUGCUGCUGAGGGUUACUUUUUUUGCAUGUAGUUUUGUAAAAAAUAAAAAUAUAGUACUAGUCUGUAUAAACACACA